ensembl:lncRNA
AGUGAUUUGGUACUUUAAAGAAGUGAUGUGUGAGAGGAGUUAACUCUUAGUCUUAAUUAUGAAUACGAAGAAGAUGAAUACCAAAGAUUCUUCCUGGGAAAUCAAGUGUUGAUCUCUGAGUAACACCAUAGUUACUGCUGACUGGGAACUGGCACAAUCCUAAGAACUCCGAAUUUCAUUUAUACCACAGUGGGUUUAUGGUUUAAGGAGCCUAACAGAAUACUGAGCCAGUCAUUCCACAUCUGCUUGGCUCUUCUACAAACAUGUUGCACUGCAAGACAGCUUCUAAGAAGCAAGUGUUGCAAUGGGAGGAAAGCUCCAAGGAUGGAUGUGGUUACCAAAGGUGAUAUGAGAUGACUGACUCAGCAUGGCUGAGGAAGUGGAAAAAGAAAAUAGAGCCAGAGUUUUGUCUGAGUUCAUGGAAAAUCUCCUGUGCAGCAGUCAGACUUGGUGGCAGUUUCAUGAUGGAGCUCUGGGCUGCAUGUCUUCUGGUACGCUUCUCCUUUCUUGUGGAAUACAUUCUCUUUUGAGCCUCCUUCAUGAAUUGGUGGCACUCAGAACAAAGUCUGCAAAAAUGUUACAGCCAACAAGAUAUGUCUGUUCAGACUGUUUUCCUGGAAUGUCCCUCAACAAAAGCUAAUUCCCUUGGGGGGAAGUGCUUCAGUGUCCUUUUGCUCGGAAAUCAUUAGAUUUCAGCCUGUUCUGAAAGCCCAUAAUUGUAAUGUCUCUUUCCAAAAGAUGCUUGGGUUGUU